CCUACGGGAGGCAGCAGUGGGGAAUCUUGCGCAAUGGGCGAAAGCCUGACGCAGCCAUGCCGCGUGAAUGAUGAAGGUCUUAGGAUUGUAAAAUUCUUUCACCGGGGACGAUAAUGACGGUACCCGGAGAAGAAGCCCCGGCUAACUUCGUGCCAGCAGCCGCGGUAAUACGAAGGGGGCUAGCGUUGCUCGGAAUUACUGGGCGUAAAGGGAGCGUAGGCGGAUAGUUUAGUUAGAGGUGAAAGCCCAGGGCUCAACCUUGGAAUUGCCUUUGAUACUGGCUAUCUUGAGUAUAGGAGAGGUAUGCGGAACUCCGAGUGUAGAGGUGAAAUUCGUAGAUAUUCGGAAGAACACCAGUGGCGAAGGCGGCAUACUGGCCCAUUACUGACGCUGAGGCUCGAAAGCGUGGGGAGCAAACAGGAUUAGAUACCCUGGUAGUCCACGCUGUAAACGAUGAGUGCUAGUUGUCGGCAUGCAUGCAUGUCGGUGACGCAGCUAACGCAUUAAGCACUCCGCCUGGGGAGUACGGUCGCAAGNUUAAAACCUUAAAUGAAUUGACCGG
rnacentral:rRNA from 1 species